CAGUAGCCGCGGGAAUACGAAGGGGGCUAGCGUUGCUCGGAAUUACUGGGCGUAAGGGGCGCGUAGGCGGACAGUUCAGUCGGGGGUGAAAGCCCGGGACUCAACCUCGGAAUUGCCUUCGAUACUGGCUGUCUUGAGUAUGAGAGAGGUGUGUGGAACUCCGAGUGUAGAGGUGAAAUUCGUAGAUAUUCGGAAGAACACCAAUGGCGAAGGCGACACACUGGCUCAUUACUGACGCUGAGGCGCGAAAGCGUGGGGAGCAAACAGGAUUAGAUACCCCCGUAGUCCCUGUCUCUUAUAC
rnacentral:rRNA from 1 species